GAGGAAUAUUGCGCAAUGGGCGAAAGCCUGACGCAGCAACGCCGCGUGGAGGACGAAGGCCUUCGGGUCGUAAACUCCUUUUCCGGGGAACGAGGAAGGACGGUACCCCGGGAAUAAGUCUCGGCUAACUACGUGCCAGCAGCCGCGGUAAAACGUAGGAGGCGAGCGUUAUCCGGAUUUACUGGGCGUAAAGCGCACGCAGGUGGCUUCGUAAGUCGGACAUGAAAGCUCCUGGCUUAACUGGGAGAGGUGGUUCGAUACUGCGGGGCUUGAGGUUGGGAGAGGGACGUGGAAUUCCCGGUGUAGUGGUGGAAUGCGUAGAUAUCGGGAGGAACACCAGUGGCGCAAGCGGCGUCCUGGCCCACACCUGACGCUGAGGUGCGAAAGCGUGGGGAGCAAAC
rnacentral:rRNA from 1 species